rnacentral:rRNA from 1 species
UACGGAGGGUGCAAGCGUUAUCCGGAUUCACUGGGUUUAAAGGGUGCGUAGGUGGGCAAGUAAGUCAGUGGUGAAAUCUCCGGGCUUAACCCGGAAACUGCCAUUGAUACUAUUUGUCUUGAAUACUGUGGAGGUCAGCGGAAUAUGUCAUGUAGCGGUGAAAUGCUUAGAUAUGACAUAGAACACCAAUUGCGAAAGGCAGCUGGCUACACAAAUAUUGACACUGAGGCA